AUACGUAGGGUGCAAGCGUUAAUCGGAAUUACUGGGCGUAAAGCGUGCGCAGGCGGUUCGGAAAGAAGGAUGUGAAAUCCCAGGGCUCAACCUUGGAACUGCAUUCUUAACUACCGAACUAGAGUAUGUCAGAGGGGGGUAGAAUUCCGCGUGUAGCAGUGAAAUGCGUAGAUAUGCGGAGGAAUACCGAUGGCGAAGGCAGCCCCCUGGGAUAAUACUGACGCUCAUGCACGAAAGCGUGGGUAGCAAACAGGAUUAGAUACCCGGGUAGUCCACGCACUAAACGGUGUCAACUAGCUGUAGGGCCCUUCGGGGCUUAGUAGCGUAGCUAACGCGUGAAGUUGACCGCCUGGGGAGUACGGUCGCAAGAUUAAAACUCAAAUGAAUUGACGGGG
rnacentral:rRNA from 1 species